GACGAACGCUGGCGGCGUGCUUAACACAUGCAAGUCGAACGGUGAAGCGCCUUCCUUUUUGGUGGGUGUGGAUGAGUGGCGAACGGGUGAGUAACACGUGAGUAACCUGCCCCCUUCUUCUGGAUAACCGCAUGAAAGUGUGGCUAAUACGGGAUAUUCUGGGUCUGUCGCAUGAUGGGUCUGGGAAAGAUAUUGUUUCGGUGGGGGAUGGGCUCGCGGCCUAUCAGCUUGUUGGUGGGGUGAUGGCCUACCAAGGCGGUGACGGGUAGCCGGCCUGGGAGGGUGGACGGUCACACUGGGACUGAGACACGGCCCAGACUCCUACGGGAGGCAGCAGUGGGGAAUAUUGCACAAUGGGCGCAAGCCUGAUGCAGCGACGCCGCGUGAGGGAUGGAGGCCUUCGGGUUGUGAACCUCUUUCGCCAGUGAAGCAGGCCUGCCUCGUUUGUGGGUGGGUUGACGGUAGCUGGAGAGGAAGCGCCGGCUAACUACGUG
rnacentral:rRNA from 1 species